GUGGAAAUCUCUACACUCCCCACUUAAUGCUUGGUCAAGACGACAAGCAAUGUUUGGUUGUGGGUGCUAAUGAAGGAAAAAAAGGUUCUUCCUUAUCUUUUUUUGUUGGUGGUGACCACUUUCUUUGUGCCAUUUGUACUAAGUUUUUUAAGUCCAACACAAAGGAUCCAUGGAUGUACUUCAAGUUUGUUCCACCUCGGCAUGGCAUAUUGAUGUGUUAUUUUUGCUAACCCUAACCCCUCAUGUCAUGAGGAUGUGUGCUUGUUUGUCUUCUCUUAAUUUUGCAAGGUACGGAUUCGAGGACGAAUUCUCUUAAAGAAGGG
rnacentral:lncRNA from 1 species